UACGUAGGGUGCGAGCGUUAAUCGGAAUUACUGGGCGUAAAGCGUGCGCAGGCGGUUUUGUAAGCCAGAUGUGAAAGCCCUGGGCUCAACCUGGGAAUGGCAUUUGGGACUGCAAGGCUUGAGUGCGGCAGAGGAGACUGGAAUUCCUGGUGUAGCAGUGAAAUGCGUAGAUAUCAGGAGGAAUACCGAUGGCGAAGGCAGGUCUCUGGGCUGACACUGACGCUCAUGCACGAAAGCGUGGGGAGCAAACAGG
rnacentral:rRNA from 1 species